rnacentral:rRNA from 1 species
AUUGAACGCUGGCGGCAGGCCUAACACAUGCAAGUCGAGCGAGCGGCGGACGGGUGAGUAAUGUCUGGGAAUCUGCCUGAUGGUGGGGGAUAACUUCUGGAAACGGUAGCUAAUACCGCAUACUAUCAGAUGUGCCCAGAUGGGAUUAGCUAGUUGGUGGGGUAAUGGCUCACAAAGGCGACGAUCCCUAUCUGGUCUGAGAGGAUGAUCAGGAACACGGGAACUGAGACACGGGCCAGACGCCUACGGGAGGCAGGAGUGGGGAAUAUUGGACAAUGGGCGAAAGCCUGAUGCAGCCAUGCCGCGUGUGUGAAGAAGGACUGCGGAUGGUAAAGCACUUUCAGUUGGGAGGCGUUACUAACAGAAGAAGCACCGGCUAACUCCGUGCCAGCAGCCGCGGUAAUAC